AGCGGGAAGGGAGAAGAACCUCAAGUUUAUUGUGCAGGUCCCAUUAGAUUUCGACAAAGAGGAUAACAUAGUUGUGCAGUGAUCGGAGUCGAUUGCCUUGGGUUUGACGUGCCAGUGUGCGCAGGAACUGCAGUGCAUAUCUCAAGAUUUUAUUUUCCUAAAAGCGACGUCUUGGUCAAUGAGCACCGCUUCCAUGUCCUUUGCUAGAUCAGCGAGGGCAAAGACCACCAGCCUGCCUCUGGUGUCACAUUCGACAGGCUUGACACCGUCCACGUUUUAGGUAUUUUCAACUGUGAUUAGAAGAUGCUAUGGUUAAAUGAGAGGAAGUUUUAAAUUCUAGGAUGAGUUGUCUUUAAUUGUAAUUAUGUUUCUUUGUGUAGCCAUACUAUUUUGCAACAGAUUUAUAAGUUGAAAUUAACUUGACCAA